AUGGGGAAUUCAUACGCCGGGCAACUAAAAUCUGCUCGAUUUGAAGAGGCUCUCCACAACUCUAUUGAGGCAUCACUGCGCUCUAGCAGUGGAGAUCCACAGCCCAUCUUCACACAGCUCUACCUUGAGCCGGAGCUGUUUCCUGGUAACUUGGAAGACAUGAAGUCAAAAGCCGACCUCCAUGGUGGGGAGCCGCCAGGCCAGGAGCUUAUGAACGGCCACUCUUCCAACUAUCAGGUGGAGCUGGAGGACGAUGAUGACUCAGACAGCAGCAGCCCUCCACUUCCCUACCUACAGACCCCUGCGCCAGACGACUGCUGCACAUUGGAUGGGUUCUGUCAGGCCGGCAAGGACCUCCGCCUGGUCUCCAUAACAACGGAGCCCAUCGAAGUCCCAGCAGGCUUCGAGCUGGUCGGUGCAAAGUCCCCCAGCGUGCCCGAGCACAUCCUGGUGUGUGCCGUGGACCGCCGCUUUUUGCCUGACGAGAAUGGGAAAAAUGCACUUUUAGGCUUUUCAGGAAACUGUGUGGGCUGUGGGGAAAAGGGUUUCAGAUACUUCACUGAGUUUUCAAACCACAUCAACCUGAAGUUAUCCACCCAGCCCAAGAAGCAGAAGCACUUAAAAUACUACCUGGUGAAGAAUUCUCAGGGUGCUCUGUGCAAAGGACCCCUCAUCUGCUGGAAAGACUGUAAAACCCGCCAGUUCUCUAGCAGUGCAUCAACGUCCAAACCCAGCUCGUCCUCCUCUCUCAGCAGCAAAGAAAAUGGAGGUGCCAGUGGACACAGCUCCUCUCCCUUCUCCCUCUCAGAUUCUCCAGACACCAGAACAAUGCAAGUAUCCUCAAUCUUUUUCGGGAGUCAGGACCUCGGCAGAGACUGCAGUUUCCCCAAACCUCUUUCAUCCCCAUCUGGAAACAAGACUCUACCAAUAGUGCCCACAGCUCUGAGGGUGAAUGGGCCGACAAAUAGCCUGGGUGUUGAUGGGCGUCCUCCCUUACUGAGCCCCUCCGUGGUCUCUUUAGGGCCACCAGGUCAGGGGUAUCGCAAUGCUGACUUAGGAGACAGUCCUGUAUCCACUGCCAUGAACUCGGGUCCUCCAAAGAAGCGCCACCGAAGCUGGCAUCCCAACUCGUUGGUACCUGUCCCACCAACGGCCGUCUCUGUGCCAGCCAUCCGGCCGAUAGGUUGUUCUCCAGGUUUAGUAUUAGGAGUGUCCUCUCCUCAGCCACCAGUAGCAGGAGUCCUUCAGCCCCAACCUGUCAGCGCUGGAGAGACUGUCAUCGUCCCCGACAGCCUGCUCAACUCUUCAGGAGUUCGCCCUGUCAUCCUCAUCGGGCAUGGCACUUUACCUUAUUUUUAUGGGAAUGUUGGGGACAUAGUGGUGAGCCCCCUCCUGGUCAGCUGCUAUAAUAACAGCCAGUUGACAGAGAAAACCCUGGAGACGUUGGGCCUCAACAGCAGCCAGCUUCUCUGUGUGGAGACAAUGAUUCUGCUCACUUUACAGUAUCUUGCACGUUUAGGCUCGGUGCAGAUUCCUCUGAGGGAGGAGCUGGAGCAGAUUGUUUUGAAGGCCAUGCUGUGCUGUCCUAGGGGUCCUGCCAUCUCCCCGUCCCAGCUGCCCUGGUUAGCUCGGCUGGAAUCCAGCGUCUCAGGGGGCAGUGUCCAAGUCAUGGUUACCCAUAACUCUUUGGGAGAAGGCAUCGCUGAGUCACUUCGGUCUCUCAGUGAGGGUCCUCACAACCAGAAGUGCCUGCCAACCUAUGUUGUCAUUAUAUGUGCCUCUAAAAUGAGUGGCAGCGAGUUCUGUGUGCUAGUUUUGGGAAAGUACCAAGCAAGGGCCUUAGCUGAGGGGAUGCUUACAACCAAUGAGUUUCUGAAGGAAAUCAGUUACGAACUCAUCACAGGGAAAGUCAGCAUCUUGGCAUCUCACUUCAAAACCACGUCACUAGGGGACAAUUUGGACAAGCAGCUUGUGCGAUAUCAGCGCAGGCGGAAGGGACAGGUCAUCCAGCCCUUCCAGAGCGAUGGCACUUACCACAUCCACUCCCAGGAGGCUGCCAGCAUGUCACCACCCUCAGACAGAGCAGAGCUGUUAUGUAAGGUCUUCCAGAUCUAUCCGACUCAGCUGAGUGUGGCUCGGAGUCUCCUCUCUCAAGUCUGCUCCAUCGCGGACUCAGGAACCCAGAACCUCGACUUGGGGCGUUUUUGUAAAGUGGACUUUCUUGUUCUAGUCCCUCCAUCUCACAUUCUGGUACACCAGACAGCACAGCGCAUUCGACAAUCAGGAGUUCUUGUCGACCUGGGAAUCGAGGACGUCUGCACAGCCCACCAGAAAUCAGACAAGUACGUGGUGCGUCUAGACGGUGAAGUUCACGCCAAGAUGGAAGCCUUCAUGAGGAAAGUCAAGCAGAACCCCUACACCCUGUUUGUCCUCAUUCACGACAACUCUCAUGUCGACCUCACAAGUGCUCUGUCAGGCUCUGUGUGCCACGGCGAGCUGCAGGGUUUGGCUGACCGGGUGGUGAACUGCCAGGAAGUCCUGGAUGCCAUGAACCUCCUGGUCCUGCAGGUCAGCUGCUUCCCGCACACACUGCAGACCCGCCAGUCCCGCAUCAGCAUCCACAACGAAGUUCACUGGCCCUCCAACGAAAGUCUGCAGGGGGAGCAGUCUCCUAAUGAGUUGCUCUACUUUGGCCUGAGGGACUACAGCAGCUCCCUGCAGUGGGGCGUGGCCAGCCCCAUUCUGCGUUGUGAUGAUGCCUUUGAGAAGAUGGUCCACACACUGCUGGAAAGACAUCCGCACCUUCACAGCAUGGUGAUCCGCAGCUACCUGCUGAUUCAGCAGUACACUGAGGCCAUGAUGGCCCUGACCUCUUCUCCGUCGCUUAGAGACCACAUAACCCCAGAGACCCUGGCCAUGGUGGAGGACCUGAUCAACGCGCCAAGCAGAGAGGGCUCCCAGGGCCGUGGCCACAUGCUCUUGGUUCGAGUCCCCUCACUACAGCUGGCAAUGCUGGCCCGGGAACGACUAGAGGAUGUUAGGGACAAACUGGGCCUCCAGUUGUGCUUUGCCGUGCUGCUGGGAAGCCCGGCCUCGGAACUCAACCUGCACAGAAACUUCACCAGCCGCCUCAAGGCCUGGAGAGGCUGUGAGAAUGGAGACUGGGUACCGCACACUUAUGAGGAUCUGGAAGGGCUGCCCUGCAUCGUCAUCCUUACAGGAAAGGACCCUCUUGGAGAAACCUUUCCCAGGUCUCUGAAAUACUGCGACCUGCGUCUGAUAGACUCCAGCUACCUGAGUCGUACAGCCCUGGAGCAGGAGGUGGGGCUGGCCUGCACCUACGUGUCCAUGGGCGUGGUCCAGGAGCCCAAAAAUGCCAUGGCCCCUCGGGAAUCCGAAGGAGAAAAGGCCACCACCAGCUUGAAUGAUGGAGAAGAGCUGGAAAGGCCUCAGAGCAACGGCAGCGCUGCAACCAGAACCUCUGGCUCUUUUCCAGAGAACGGUGUCAGUUCAUCUGACGUUGCCGACUCUUGCCAGAAGCCCUCCACCUCCACCUGCCCACCCGAAGGUGCCAUCACCUCCGACAUAAGCACAGUAACAUUAACACAAGGCUUCAAGCAGGAGUGUGAUUCCCUCGCAAGCCAGCUCUCCUCCAAUCCCUCCAAAGCCCCUCCCUCUCUUUACUCCAGUUCCUCCUCUUCCUCCCCCUCCCAAUCUUCCUCCUCCGCCCAGAGACCCAGCCAGUCCACACAAUGUGGUCGAGACUCCAAGCCCGCUCGGGUGUCACCGCGGACAGUCAUUUUGUCACGGGCGGCAUACAACCUGCUGGCGGGGGAGUCUGGGAGUCAGCUGAGCUCCUUCUCCCUGCUGCCUCAUGCAGAUGUAGCCUGGAGCAGCCCCCUGAGGCCCCUCAUCACUCACAACCUGCAGGGGGCGGAGCAGAGCAUUUACUACCGCCAGUGGACCAUCGCCAGGCAGCAUCACGCCGAUUACGAAGCUCCAUCUGUGCCACAUCCACGACGCCUGCUACUCAGUGGACCCCCACAGGUGGGAAAAACUGGUGCCUAUCUGCAGUUUCUUCGUAUCCUGUUUCGAAUGCUCAUCAGAUUGUUGGAGGUAGAUGUGUAUGAUGAGGAAGAGGAGGAGGAAGAAGAAACAUUAGAGGUUACAACUCUAGGAAAUACCCAGUUGCCUGACAUUGAGGAAGUGCGAAAGCUGCCCUUUGACCCCUACCCCCGGGACCCUAAGUUCAGGAAGGCCAGCCCUGUUUACACUGACAAGAUGCCAAAGUGCUUAAAAGAUUUUAGGCAAGAAGGCGAGAGCCAAACCUCAGCCAAACGAGAGACCAAGUCCAUACGUCUGAGCAGGUUUGCCGCCCACAAUGCCUUUCAUCACUGUGAACAGUGUCACCACUACUGUGAAGCAGGCCCUGCCACACAGCUGUCGGAGUGCACCUUCCAUGCUUUCACCUUCUGCUCGUCCAUGCUGGGGGAGGAAGUCCAGCUCCAGUUUGUCAUUCCCAAAGCCAAGGAGCAUCACUUUGUCUUCAGUCAACAGGGCAGCCACUUGGAGAGCAUGCGCCUACCUCUGGUCUCCACCAAGGAUCCUGAUGUGUUCAAGAGUCCAAUCUUCACCCCUACUACAGGACGUCAAGAGCACGGCCUGCUCAACAUUUUCCAUGCCAUGGAGGGUGCCAUUCAUCUGCAUAUUCUGGUGGUCAAGCAAUUUGAGAUGCCCCAAUACAGAAAGUACUGGCCCAACCACAUCCUGCUCGUCCUGCCAGCUAUGUUCAACAGCGCAGGAGUUGGUGCUGCUCGCUUCAUGAUCAAAGAGCUGUCAUAUCAUAACCUGGAGCUGGAGAGAAACAGACUUGAGGAGCAAGGUGUCCAUAGGCAAGAUGUAUGGCCUUUCAUUGUCAUGAUGGACGACUCCUGCGUGCUGUGGAACACCCAUCAGACAGCAGACAGCAGUGAGACAUCAGAUGGAACGAAUGUGUCACUAAAGACAGUGCUGCAGCAUAUGGAAAACACACCGAAGAUCUCCCUGUACGCAAUGUGCGGUACACGCAGGUGGAGCAGCAGCCUGGCUCGCAAAUCUCCCAGCCACCCCUUCAGCCGGUGUCACCUCCAUGACUUUGUCAUGCUUAAUGUGGACCUGACACAGAAUGUUCAAUAUGACCUUAAUCGGUAUAGCUGUGAGGAGGUGGACUUUAAUCUAAGGGUGAACAGCAGUGGGCUGCUGCUGUGUCGCUUUAACUACUUUAGCCUAAUGAAGAAACACAUUCCAGUUGGGGGAAACCAUGACUUCGUGGUCAAACCUAAACUCAUGGAAAUAGAAAACCCCGCCACAAUCAGCCCGUCGCAGUAUGUUUGCGCCCCAGACAGCGAGCAGACCCUGCUGGACGCCCCGGCCCAGUUCUUGCUUGAAAAGUUCCUGCAAAGCUGUAGCCACAGACUGUUUCCGAAGGCUGUUCAGAACAGGAACAACCCAGUUCUGGCCAUCGACAGCUACCUCAACAUCAGCCCGGAGAUUUCUGUGUGCUACAUCAACUCUCGUCCACACUCCACCAACCUGAACCAUCAGGGCCUGCUGUUCAGUGGCCUCCUGCUUUACCUUUGUGACUCUUUCGUCGUAUCUGGACUCCUCAAGAAAUUCCGCUUCCUCAAAGGCGCCACUCUGUGCGUGAUCUGCCAGGACCGAAGUUCCCUGCGUCAGACCGUCAUCAGAUUGGAGCUGGAGGACGAGUGGCAGUUCCGCCUGCGGGACGAGUUUCAGACGGCCAACUGCAGCGAGGACCGGCCCCUCUACUUUCUGACUGGCCGCCAUGUUUGAACCUGAAACAUCCUGAAUCGACUGCUCUGCUGCAGAAACACAAUCAGAAAUGAGGAUAGAUUUAAUUCCAAACCAACCAGCGAUUACAAUUCUUGCCAUUCCAGUGGAAGGUCAGAGGGGAUAUGCUGGAGCACAAGAUCCAAAGUGCCCCAUGAGUGGACACAAAACCACCUGAUAUGGCUUUCCUUUAAUCUGUACUGCCACAGUGCACUACGCCUGGGUCAGUGCUUGUUUUAAUGCUUGCUUGUAGCUGGGCUUCUCUCCGCUUGAACUUGUGUUCUACUGAAAAAGAAUUUACUGUGGAAAAAAAGCACAGCACAGCUGAAACUUUAUUUGUUUUGAUGUUCGCCGAAAUAGACGCUCUCAGAUCAAUGAUGUAACCAUUUGAAGAUUGUAUGUGUCCAUACAUAUAUACUUUGACUAUAGUGUGUCCCAUUCUGGACAUACAUGUUUAUCUCAGGGUUUUAAAGGUUGCUUGAAGGGACAAAGCUAUUCUCCAAGUUCACCAUGUAUUUUUGGCAUUAACUUAUGUUGGCACCAAAGGCAUCCUCAGCUGCCCUUUGCCUUUUCCUUUCGCUUUUCUUGUCCCUCCUUACCUGCUAUGCCUCUCAAACUCCACAAAGCUCAUUGACAAGAAAGCUCACUACAUUGAAGAAAUAUUAACAUAGAGUUUGGCCUGUAUUGGGUUUCCAUCAUUGAUUGACUCUCUCUAUAUGUGAAUCUGAAUAUAUUUAUGUGGCAUCAGUAAUCCUUCUGACGAGGAGCUGUAUGAGUGUGGUUUUAGUCUCUAAAUGACUGACCCAUUUAUUUAUCCAAAGACGUUAUUCACAACUAAAGACAAGUACAAGUUGUCCUUUCAAGAAUGUAGUAUGAUAAUGUUCUAUUAUGGCUGAAAUAUACAUUCUGUAACUAUGAAGCAGGUCUGUUGUCCAGAACACACUUAUGUGACUUGCCACAGGGUUUUAUUGUACAACUCACCUGUUAAUGUUUAAUGCCAAUCAGACGGAGCAACAUAAAUUACAUAUGUUUAGUAUUUAGGCAUGUACUGACUUGAAUACUGGGUAUUUUAAGCAUAAUCACAUUACGUCAGUAAAUGCUGUAUAAUAAGCAAGCCUCUUCACUGCCAAAUAUCCUGCUGCGGACUGUGCCUGGGCUUUCACCUCCUGUUUCAAUGUUCUGAGGCUGACGUUGAUGGUCUUGGCUACCAUCCACACACUAAACUCACAAUCUGCCAUCUCUUGCCCCCAAACCAAAGGAUAAUCAAAGAAAGGGUAACACGCUGUCAAAAGCAGAUGACCAGAUUAUUCCCUAUACUUGAAAGUAGAAUGUUUUUAUAUGUUUCUGCACAGGGUUGUCCAAAGAAUAUGCCUUAAAUGUCGUUUCAUACAGUUACUGAUCAAGUCACAAUUUUUUUUUCGGACCAAUGAGAAUGAAGAAACCAUUAACUGUGAGGCGAAGAAAUGUUGUUUUUCUGAGUGAAGCUAAAUGAAAUAAUUGGAUUUCGGACUACUGUACUGUUUAAAGCGUUGUUUACAUUAUUAAUAUAUUAUAUCAUCCCCUUAACCACUGAGGGUUACUGAUGUUUUUUUUAGUCUUGUGUAACUUUUGCCAGUAUAUUUUGGUCAUGAUGUCUUAUUGCAUUUUAUUUUAUGUUGCAAAGGCUAGAAAAAAAAUCUACCUAGAUGUGUCCUUAACCACAUGUCUGUAUCCCUACCUGUUCUUGUGUUGGAUUUUUAUUGAAAAUGAAAAUCAGGUCCAUGAGGGAUUCUUAUUUAUUUGACAAGCAUUUUGGACUGAUAAUCAUAUAGAAGUGUAAUAUUUGAUUGCAAGCUUGCCUAAACCAAGGGAGUGUGUCCUCUCCUCUUCAAAACCAUCCAUAAAGGCUUUGCACGAGACCUAAAUGAAUGAUUAUUAGAUCUACUGAACAUCAUUAGGGGUAGGAAAUAUGAACUAGCAGUAUACAAGUUAAGACAGAUAAGAAAUGUUUCCCACUAUUGAAUUAACCCCAAAUGAGUCCAUAUAUAAGACUGGGGAUCAAAACUUUAACUUAAACUCCAAUGGUCCACAGAAUGUGUCUUUCCUUUUAAAAAUUGAACACUUAAUAUGCAACUUGCUCUCACAAUCUUCACUGAAAUGUGUUUGAUAACCAUGUGCAGCCCAGUGGUAGCCUUGUGUCUGGGUGAUCUACCUCAUUUUUGUGCUUGUGGGCUGUGAACAUAAUGACAUUUGAGCCAUGUUAUUGUUGUUAAAAGAUUAUUAAUGUAUUAAAAUGACUUCUAAAAUCA